GCAUAUAGCCCAGCUGGUUAAAGCAUGGUACUGUUAAUGCCAAGGUUGCAGGUUUGAUCCCCGUAUGGGACA